rnacentral:rRNA from 1 species
ACAGCAGUAGCCGCGGGAAUACGGAGGGUGCAAGCGUUAUCCGGAUUCACUGGGUUUAAAGGGUGCGUAGGCGGAUCUGUAAGUCAGUGGUGAAAUCUCCAGGCUUAACCUGGAAACUGCCGUUGAUACUAUAGGUCUUGAAUUUUGUGGAGGUUAGCGGAAUAUGUCAUGUAGCGGUGGAAUGCAUGGAUAUGACAUAGAACACCAAUUGCGAAGGCAGCUGGCUACACAACUAUUGACGCUGAGGCACGAAAGCGUGGGGAUCAAACAGGAUUAGAUACCCGCGUAGUCCCUGUCUCUUAUAC